ACAACCUACAUGGUGAUUUUCUUACUCUGAUUUUUCUUCCUAUUAUGUCCUAGUGUUCAUCAAAGCUGAUCUCAGGAGACAAAAUGCCAACCUGAAUGGUGAACGGAGUAAGACUCUAGAAGAGGCGUCUCAGACCGGCAUUGUGCCACUGUCCGAGGAAUCAAAGUUCUAAAGGGUCAGAUGGCAGAGCUAGGAGAUAUGGCUGCCCUCAUCUUCCAUUCCCACCUCUACAGCUGUAUUUCCCAUCAUGUGUAUGAAGUGGCCCAGCAUUCAAAGCCAAUCUAGAAAGCUGCUUAAGUUGCUGAUGGAAGGAAUAUGUGGGACCUGAGUCACCUUUGCUUCAGCCAGCUUGAUCUUUUUGCUCUGGUAUCAGGCAAAUCAUUGCCUAUUGGAAAACAACUGAUGGAAGUAGUUGAAGGCCUCCAUCGUAUUCCACAUGGAAUCCAGACUGUCAUCUGUACAUCCUUUUACACUGUCUAUUGGAAAAGUAAAUCUAAGGGAUGAGACGUCAGUUGGAUCUAGAGAAAGAUCCUUGCUCCUUAGGGAGAACUAGAAAGCACUUGCUCUGUGAGCAGCUAUACUUAAAACCCAGCUCUUGAGUGGCAAGUGACCUUUCCCUGGGUAUAUAGGGCAUCAGACCCAACAAGUAAGAGUGUCUGAGGCUUCUAGGCCUGUUCCAGACUUCCAGAUAGUAGAAUAUUUAUUUUUAUAACCUCGGUCAAGAUGUUUUUAAGAUUAAUGGAUAACAGUUUUGCAAGAUGAAUAUUUUAAACUGGUUGUUAUGUUAUUGAAAUAUUCCAUUUUUAAUUUUUAAGCAAAUAUUUGAGAAGCACCAGCAUGUAUGGUUGGUCAGACUGGAUGUGUCGUGUCAUGGUAUACUUAGGCCUGUUUGUGGGAAGAUGAGGAAAACGUGGACAUUUCAUAGAAUUUCAUCAUGGAAGAAAACAAACUCCACUCAAUUUGUGGAUCAAAAAUUGUGUUUGCAUUUUGAAAGAGUGGUAUGAGUUAAACCCAGAGGCGUAGCUCCAGGGGGGUGGGACAGGCAACGCACCGGGCACACCCUCUGUGGGGGCGUGGCGUUCUGGGGGUGGAGGACACACCAGUGCAUUGGGCCUCUGCUACGCCUCUGGUUUAAUCUGUUGCGUAGGGCCAAUACACAUAAUAAAUAUGCACAUGUGCACACAUAUCCUACUCUGAAAGUAACUCUAGGAAAGUUUCCAAACAGAAUAAGGAGAAUUAUUCUUUUUUAAUGAAGUGCACAGGAGAAGCUCUAUUACACAGCUCCUUUUGUCUGGUUGCUGAACAAGUGCAAUAUAAUGGAUUAUGCCUGGUAUUUAUUAAGUCCAUUGUGAGUUUGGAUCUGGAUGAUGGAUCUGGACUUCAGGCAAAAGUGCUUGACACUUUAGUUGGGAAGCCCUGUGUUGUGAAAGCUACAUUGUUGUUGUGAAAAUCCUCCAAACAGAGUCACUUAACAGGCUGCUUACAAGAAGUUUUGGAUUCUAGAAUAAAGCACAAUAAAUCUUUCUGCAGCA